rnacentral:lncRNA from 1 species
UCCGCCUUUGAACGUACUCUUACAAAACAUUCAGUCAAUGAAUCAGAUGCAGGGUCUUAAUUACCAUCAUGGGAAGUGCCAAUGCCUAUAAAACGCCAUACUAAAUACCAUUGUAGAUGAGCUCCAUGGAGAUGAGAUGUUCCCAAUGCAAAUACAACUGCAUACCAAAUUCCAUUGCAAUACAACUUGUUGUGUAGAUGAAGACUCUCGCAAAAGAAUUAAUUGUCUUUAUAGAAUUUAAACCCAAUUUUAAAAGUAACAAUUCACAUCAAAAUUAAAAGAAUUGGCUGAAUUGUAAUAAAGUUUUCACAGGGCAUUUGACCAAUACCCACAAAU